AGAGAGGGGAGGGAGGGAAGCGAGAGAAAGGGAGCUGCUUGGAUCCCGUACUUCCCAGAGCCUGCCUGGAGCGCGCACUCUCCGGGUCCCAGCGUCCCAGCCGCGGCCCGCGCCCCGCACCACCUCCUCCUUCGGUCUGGGCACCCCUCGCCCCCUCCCUCCGGCCCCCGCUAGGCUCCGGCAGCGGCCGCCCCCAGCCCCUGCUUGGCCACAUCGUCAACUCUCUGGGCUCCCUCCUGGGACGCGCGCCCUCGCCCCAUCCUUUCUUCCUUCCUUCCUUCCCUCGCGCCCGCCCUCCCUCACCAGGUCUCCCUCCCGGGUCCCGAUUGUCUCCGUCCCCUUCCCAGUCGGCUCGCGCCUCGCCCUACCCCGUCUGUCCCUCGCACUUCCUGGGUCGCCCGCCGCCGCAGUCUCGCCUAGCCGCGGGAGCCCGAGCCGCCGCUGCCCCGGCUCCAGCCCCCGCAGCCCGCGGCGCCCGCCCGAGGGAGCCCCGGCGCCCGGGGAAGGGAAAAGUGGGCGAGCGCGCCCUCGCCCAGCCCCGCGCCCCAGCCCUGCCCGGCGAGGAAGGACCGGGAAGAUGAACAACGGCGGCAAAGCCGAGAAGGAGAACACCCCGAACGAGGCCAACCUUCAGGAGGAAGAGGUCCGGACCCUAUUUGUCAGUGGUCUCCCUCUGGAUAUCAAACCUCGGGAGCUCUAUCUGCUUUUCAGACCAUUUAAGGGCUACGAGGGUUCUCUUAUAAAGCUCACAUCUAAGCAGCCCGUAGGUUUUGUCAGUUUUGACAGUCGCUCAGAAGCAGAAGCUGCAAAGAAUGCUUUGAAUGGCAUCCGCUUCGAUCCUGAAAUUCCGCAAACACUACGACUAGAGUUUGCUAAGGCAAACACGAAGAUGGCCAAGAACAAACUAGUAGGGACUCCAAACCCCAGUACUCCUCUGCCCAACACUGUACCUCAGUUCAUUGCCAGAGAGCCAUAUGAGCUCACAGUGCCUGCACUUUACCCCAGUAGCCCUGAAGUGUGGGCCCCGUACCCUCUGUACCCAGCGGAGUUAGCGCCUGCUCUACCUCCUCCUGCUUUCACCUAUCCCGCUUCACUGCAUGCCCAGAUGCGCUGGCUCCCUCCCUCCGAGGCUACUUCUCAGGGCUGGAAGUCCCGUCAGUUCUGCUGAAUGCUAUGUUCCAGGUGUGUGAUGGUGGCUGCAAUCUGUCUUGUGGGUAUUAAUGCAAUCUUCACUGGUGGUUGCUGUGCUCAAGCCGUUCUACCAGACUGGAGCAUGCUGGCUUGAAAACACCUUGCCCAGUUUUGGUCCCUUCAAGACUUUGCCACAGCCUCUAUCACACAUCUGUUUUUCUCGAAGAAACAAAUAUAAUAAAAAUGUUUUACUCUUUUACACUGUAUAAUUUUAAGAAAUAGUGUGUUGUUUGUGAACGCAUGGUCUGACAUUUCUGUACAGUUUGGAGAUAUUUU